rnacentral:rRNA from 1 species
UACGUGAGGGUGCGAGCGUUGUCCGGAAUUAUUGGGCGUAAAGGGGCUCGUAGGCGGUUUGUCGCGUCGGGAGUGAAAACACCGGGCUUAACUCGGUGCUUGCUUUCGAUACGGGCAGACUAGAGGUUAUGCAGGGGAGAACGGAAUUCCUGGUGUAGCGGUGAAAAUGCGCAGAUAUCAGGAGGAACACCGGUGGCGAAGGCGGUUCUCUGGGCAUUACCUGACGCUGAGGAGCGAAAGUGUGGGGAGCGGAACAGG